rnacentral:rRNA from 1 species
CAGCGCCACAAGUGGGGGCCAUGUUUAUUGGGCCUAAAGCGUUCGUAGCUGGUUCUGUUAAUCUUUUGUGAAAUCGUUGGGCUUAACCUAACGGCGUGCAGGAGACACUGCAGAACUUGGGACCGGGAGGGGUUAGAAGUAUUUCUGGGGGAGCGGUAAAAUGCAGUAAUCCCGGGAGGACUACCUGUGGCGAAGGCGUCUAACCAGAACGGGUCCGACAGUGAGGAACGAAAGCCAGGGGAGCAAACCGGAUUAGAUACCCGGGUAGUCC